rnacentral:ncRNA from 2 species
AUAGAAAAUCGGGGGUGCUGGCAUUUGCCGGCUGAGAUGCCUUGGGGCGAACCCUUAACCUGAUACGGAUAAUACCGGCGUAGGUAGCAUUUUCACAGGAUCAC